UUUAUGGAGAGUUUGAUCCUGGCUCAGGAUGAACGCUGGCGGCGUGCCUAAUACAUGCAAGUCGAGCGAACGGACGAGAAGCUUGCUUCUCUGAUGUUAGCGGCGGACGGGUGAGUAACACGUGGAUAACCUACCUAUAAGACUGGGAUAACUUGGGGAAACCGGAGCUAAUACCGGAUAAUAUUUUGAACCGCAUGGUUCAAAAGUGAAAGACGGUCUUGCUGUCACUUAUAGAUGGAUCCGCGCUGCAUUAGCUAGUUGGUAAGGUAACGGCUUACCAAGGCAACGAUGCAUAGCCGACCUGAGAGGGUGAUCGGCCACACUGGAACUGAGACACGGUCCAGACU
rnacentral:rRNA from 1 species